CUGCAGGGGCCCAGCCUUAGUUUUGCCCUGUUGUCACCACUACACCCUAAGGUUACAACAAUAAAAAUGAAAUGUAAAAUACACACACACUAAAAACAGUAAUGGUGCCUGAAAAUGGAGAGGGGAAACCAUUUCCUUAGCCAAAGGCAAAGGUAAAGCUUUAAUGCUCUCCUAAAGAUGUAAAGUGAAGAUGCCUGACACGCUUCAGGAGGAGAGAGUUCCACAAUCUGGGGGCCACCACUGAAAAGACCCCUUUUCAGCGGUGGCCCCAAGACUGCGGAUUAGCUGCCCCUGUAGACAUAGCCUUUGAAAGGCAGCCUGGCUCCCCCUCCACAGCGACCUUGACUUCGUUACGUGGAGCACCGGCCGUCCUCAGACCCACAAGGUCUCCAUGGUUUUGGCCCCCCGCCACCGUCUCCGCUCUGCGCCAAUGACUCGCCUGCCACCGUUCUGUCUUGGGCAAAGAACAAACCCCAGGCGGAGCCGAUCCACCUGCCUGUCUGCCCGGCCCGUCCGUCCGUCCGUCCGGGGAGGGAGCCUCCGUCCUGCCCGGCUCCCUCGCCCCACAGGGGGGCUCUCCGGUCCGGGGUCUGCCCUGCCUGCCUGCCCCCUGGGCGAGGCGAGGGCGGCGCCUCCGCGGUGCUACAAGAGGCGGCGGUGGCGGCCCGAGAGAGCGAGCGCGGCGGGGCGGCGGCGGGUUCGACGCCAUGGAACCGCUGCGGGAGUUCCGGGCGCUGGUGGACCGCGCCGGCGGGCGGCAGCGCCUGCUCCUGGUGGCCGAGGUGGCGGAGGGCGCCGGCGGGGCGGCCUCGCCGUCGGAGCGGACGCCGCCGCGGCUGCUGCUGGAGACCUUCGCCCGGGAGCUCUUCGCCGAGCGGCAGCCCGAGCCGGCCAAGGAGGCGGCGGCGGCGGCGGCGCCCCCAGCACGGCGGGGACGAGUGCGCGUCCCCCGCCGGGACUGCGGCCCGGGCUGGCCGUGGCGGGGCUGCCCGCUGCUCUUCGUGCUCUUCGGCGCCGCCUCGCUGCUGCCCCCGCGCUGGGCCCGGGAGCGACGCCGCCUGCGCGAGAUCCUGAGCGACGUGCGCGCCCGCCUGCGCGCCCGCCCCGGGGCGCCCCCCGCCGUGGUCGGCGUGGUCGUGCUGCCCGCCGGGGCCGCGGGGUCGGACUCGGAGGGGGCGGCGCGCGCGCACCUGGAGGCGCUGCUGCAGCGCGUCUUCGGCGAGCGCCGCCGCCGAGACCAGCCGCUGCCGGGCCGGCCGGAGACGCUGCAAGCCGCCACCUACUGCCCGGGCGGCCCCCGCGGAGCCGCCGAGGCCAGGGUCGCCGCCUGCCGCGCGCUGCGGGCCGCCCUCAAGCUCCGAGCAGAUGGGGCAGAAGCUGA
rnacentral:lncRNA from 1 species